AGGUUUCAACGUAACUACAACUUUCAACACCUCAUCCCACCUUAAAACCACCACCCAACCCUCCUCCUCUUCCUUGCACAAUUUUCUCCUCUCUCUUCAUCCCAGCAUUCGUAAGCCUUUAAUUCCCUGAAUACUCCUCCUCUAGCUCUCCAACAAUGGCUGUGCAACACCAGGGUCACUAUAUGAUCCCCUUAUUCUUCUUCCUUCUAAUUCUCUUCCAACAAUCCACUGCAAGGCCUAUUAUGGAUGGUUUGCCGGCUCGGAAAGAAGGCAUCUUUGCUCCACCAAUGGAGAGGCCGUUUGGGCAUAAUCCUCCACGAGUCAGUCCAUCCGACAUGGCAUCAAAGGUGAUCGCCGAGAGCUCGAGAUCAAAGCAGAAGCUCGUGGAGAGGUAUGGGCCACUGUUCUUCAACGUUCUUCCUAGAGGAAGCACUGUACCCCCAUCCGGUCCUAGUGGGGGAACCGACGAGAUAAAGAAUUAAGUGGAAGACUCUUGAGUAGCUCUUGGAUAUGUAUUUAUCUAGGAUUGUUUCCAUAUAUAGCGCACACACAUAUACAUUUCAUUUCUUCUUUCUUUGUUUUCCUCUCAGAAACAUGUAAAUUUUAGGAUUAGGAGGAGUUUGGAUACGCUAGUGUUCUUAUGAUAAAUUUUGGCAUUUUUUUGGCAUGCUUGUAUUUGAUUUAUUCAAGGAGUAUAAAGUUGUCAUAAAAUUUGAGACUCAUGGAUAAAUUUUCUAUUGCUAAUGGUUAAUUUUAGUACCUUUUUGGAAGUUGAGUGGUAUAACUGAAGUUAUAAUUCGAGAUUUCGAUUGGUGGAGCAAAAUUUAGUGCUGGGUCGCCGGGUUAUUCUGGGAACAAAUUGUAAACGAAUAAAGAGCAGUUGCUUGGAUGGGAAGAAGAUGAAGGAGAGGUUUGAAUUCCGAAUCAAUUCUUCGACGCUUGGGGUCCCACUCGUUCGUGGGUUAGGUGGAAUCAGGAGGCAGUCCUGGCGGGUUCCCGAAUGGUAGCUUCCGUGCGGGCUCAGGUCCGCCGUUCAUCGUGCCGCUCAAGCGGAGGCUACAUGACCCUCGGUCUAUUUCACGUGGAACCAUCGAUCAAACACGUUUCACGUGGAACGCUCGAUCAGAACGCAGGGUCAUAAAAGUUCAUACAAAAAGUCUAAAAUUCCGCCUUUUUUUUAAUAAUAAUGUUAUGUAAAUCUUGAGUUUACUAAAGAUAAAAAGAGAUUUUUUUCCGGGACGGUAACGUGGGGUGAGUGCCAAGCCACAAGCAUACAACCCAUUACAACAAUAGGCCGGGGGUUCUAUCUCUCGCACGAAAGAAGGAUUCACCCGUUGGAUCAUCCAUAUCAUGCUGUGAGAUCUGUGCAGACUGAUGAGUAUGGGUUUGGAGUGCUUUGAGAUCCUUCUCAUGAAUCCACCGUUGGAUCAUCCACCGGUCGCUUUGAGAGCCGCGCAGGCGGUUGAGUGACCAAGUUAGGUGUGUUUUGAAAGUUGUGCUGUGGCGAUCCAACGGUGGGAUCGCGCGAGGGAAGGUGAAUCCUCCUUUCCGCGAAAGCUACAGCCCCCUUCACCACGCACCACCGUCAACGCCUUCACCAUUCCCCCCCGCCUCAAUGGAUCCACCAUUACCAAGAUCAUCAUCUCCCAUCUUUGAGCCCGAAACCUCCGCUUGCCAUUUCUGAAACCCGAUCUCGCUGGUGGACGAUGACCAGAAUUACGACAAUGCCGCUCGAUAGUGAAAUAUUUCGCUCUGCCAUUUCCUUUGUAAUACUUGCCGAUUUCCAUUUUUUUUUUUUAGGAAAUACUUG
rnacentral:lncRNA from 1 species